AAUAGGGUUUUGUAAAGGUUCAUUCUUUUUUUCGAGAGUGUGAUUGUAAUGGCGGAGAGAGAGGAAGGGUUUUAGAAUUUUUAGUAGUUGGGGAAGACGAAGUAACCCCUUGCACACGUGCGAACCACGUGAUUAGUGACUAAAUAUGGGCCCUUGUGUGUUAAGCCCAAUAAGGAUAGAAAACUCUGUUGGGUCCAUAUAUAUAACUAUCCUCUUAUUAAAAAAAUUAUGUUUAUUUUCUUUCUCUUUUGAAACCAAAAUGUGUUUAUUUUCUGUCUCAGUAAUAUUUAUUUAUACUGAUUAAAUAUAUACACACACAUCCUUUUUUAAAGAUAAGUAGUAUCAAAAAACUAUUUUCACAAGGAUAUCAUUUACGGACUUUUAUUUACUAAUAAUAAUAAAUUUUAGUUUUGAAAAAUAAUUAAGUUUAUUGAACUGAUUCCAAAUAUAUAUCCUAUCAUAUCCUAUUAGACCGUCUAUAAAACUGAUCAACCAAUUUUCUUUGAUUUGGAAAUAACAAAAAAAAAAU